CUACGGGGUGCAGCAGUGGGGAAUAUUGGGCAAUGGGGGAAACCCUGACCCAGCAACGCCGCGUGAAGGAAGAAGGCUUUCGGGUUGUAAACUUCUUUGACGAGGGACGAAUAAAUGACGGUACCUCGAAAACAAGCCACGGCUAACUACGUGCCAGCAGCCGCGGUAAUACGUAGGUGGCAAGCGUUGUCCGGAUUUACUGGGUGUAAAGGGCGCGUAGGCGGGAGCGCAAGUCAGAUGUGAAAUCUGGGGGCUUAACCCUCAAACUGCAUUUGAAACUGUGUUUCUUGAGUGAUGGAGAGGCAGGCGGAAUUCCUAGUGUAGCGGUGAAAUGCGUAGAUAUUAGGAGGAACACCAGUGGCGAAGGCGGCCUGCUGGACAUUAACUGACGCUGAGGCGCGAAAGCGUGGGGAGCAAACAGGAUUAGAUACCCGGGUAGUC
rnacentral:rRNA from 1 species